CUUUCUUCUAAAGCAAUAAAAGGCAGAGGAAUAAUUUAUGGUUAACAAAAGCUUUUGACUAAUGUGAUUCUUUCAAAUUGAAGGUGGGCGUGCCGGAGUGGUUAUCGGGCAUGACUAGAAAUCAUGUGGGCUCUGCCCGCGCAGGUGGGUGUGCCAGAGUGGUUAUCGAGCAUGACUAGAAAUCAUGUGGGCUCUACCCGUGCAUCAAUUAAAGGCAGUGGGCGUGCUGGAGUUGUUAUCGGCAUGACUAGAAAUUAUGUGGGCUCUGCCCGCGCAGGUGGGCAUGCCGGAGUGGUUAUCGGGCAUGACUAGAAAUCAUGUGGGCUUUGCCCGCGCAGCAAUGGAAGACAGAGGAAUAAUUUAUGGUUAACAAAAGCUUCCAACCAAAAUAUAUAUACACAUAUAUAAUGGAAGGGUAACGAGGUUAAGUAUCGAGUGUCAAUCACUUUUAUGGAAAUUAAUGACUAUGCAAGUAACGACAUUAUUCACAUGUUUUUUUUUUAAAAAAAUUCUAUACUAGAUACUAUUU